UACGGGGGGAGCAAGCGUUGUUCGGAUUUACUGGGCGUAAAGGGCGCGUAGGCGGCCAGCGCAAGUCAGUUGUGAAAUCUCCGGGCUUAACUCGGAACGGUCAACUGAUACUGCGCGGCUAGAGUGCAGAAGGGGCAACUGGAAUUCUCGGUGUAGCGGUGAAAUGCGUAGAUAUCGAGAGGAACACCUGCGGCGAAGGCGGGUUGCUGGGCUGACACUGACGCUGAGGCGCGAAAGCCAGGGGAGCAAACGGG
rnacentral:rRNA from 1 species